CCCUGCGAGAUUCAAAUGUCCUGCUUCCUUGUAGCUUCUCUCCCGAUCAAGUCCCAAUUAAAGUCAAUCAUCUGAUUAUCACCUGGAGCCAUUAUGGGUUCGUAGUUGCCAAAUUUGAAAGUGGAAAGGUCAUAACAAGACAGCACGCCAGCAUGUUUGAAAAAGAUGUUCCUCAAGGAAAUGCCUCCCUGCUUCUUGAAUCCAUCGUGAAACGAGACAAGGGGCUCUACAAAUGUCAGGUCAUCUAUGAAGGAAACUAUGAGAAAUCACUCAGCAUAGUCCUGACCAUCCAAGUUCCCCCUGAAGUCCUCUUACUCCCAGAGUUGGUCCAUCUGCUCACUGAACACCGUCUGACCUGCUCUGCCAAGAACUUCUAUCCCAAAAACAUCAGCUUCAUUUGGACAAUGAAUGGGCAGGUGGUUUCAGCAAUGGGCACUACGGAGCCGCGUUUGAACUCUGAUGGCACCUACAACUCCGAGAGCGUCUACUGCUUCACGCCCUUCAGCCGGAGGUCCCUGACCUGUGAGGUGCAGCAUGAGGCGCUGAAGGAGCCACUGAGGAGAUCCGUCACAUACAGCGGUCUGACACUGGAAGAGGUCAUUCGGAUAGCUGUAACCAUCAUCAUCAUCAUCUUCCUCACCCUUUUUAUUCUGUGGUGGUCUUCAGUCUGUCUGUUUCCUCUCAUCCUCUUGAAGGAUGUUAAUGGUGUACCCUGGGCCCUGGAGUGCACCCUUAUGGGCUGGCGACUCAAACUGGUCACUGUGGAGUGGUUUAAAAAUGACCAGCAGAUCUUUGUAGACAAGGAGUUUACAGAUGUGGAGGUCGGUGAUGAGGAGGUCCCCAAAGACUCACCUGAAUACUCCGAGAAGAGAUUCGCCAUUAAGGACCUCUGUGUGGAAAGGAAUGUCCUCAGACUGGAGACGAAGGCCACAAAUAAAGAGCUUGAGAAGGAGAAGUUCAAGUGUCGGGUCACCCACAUACUGACCGGCAGGUGCCUGGAGUGCAGUUUUGAGAUAUAAGAAGAUUGCAGAUGACUGACGCCUCACUUGAGAUCACAGGACAGAAGAAUUUGAUGCCAC